UAUGUACUCCCUCUGUCCGAAAAUACUCGUCAGUGAAAUGGAUGUAUCUAGACGCAUUUUAGUUCUAGAUACAUCAAUUUUUAUCAAUUUCUCCGACAAGUAUUCCGAACAGAGGUAGUAAUUU
rfam:Triticum urartu cultivar G1812 contig159865, whole genome shotgun sequence.